GUCCUAUACAGAUGCAUUCAACGCUAGCCAGUUGAGCAUCUCCCUGUAGGACGAAGUUUAUUAGAAGCUCUAGCAACAAUUCUCAUUGUGUGGCUGUGGCUACAGUCGAAAUGAGAUGAAGCAGAGUGGAAUAGGUUAACCGUAAGACCUUGGGUUGAAAAACUCUAAAAUUGAGCUAGAGAUACGGGUUUCCUAAUUUUCUCAUUUUCUAAUUUUCUAGGUACGGUCUU
rnacentral:ncRNA from 1 species